rnacentral:rRNA from 1 species
CCUACGGGGUGCAGCAGUCGAGAAUCAUUCACAAUGGGGGAAACCCUGAUGGUGCGACGCCGCGUGGGGGAAUGAAGGUAUUCGGAUUGUAAACCCCUGUCAUGUGGGAGCAAAUUAAAAAGAUAGUACCACAAGAGGAAGAGACGGCUAACUCUGUGCCAGCAGCCGCGGUAAUACAGAGGUCUCAAGCGUUGUUCGGAAUCACUGGGCGUAACGCGUGCGUAGGCUGUUUCGUAAGUCGUGUGUGAAAGGCGCGGGCUCAACCCGCGGACCGCACAUGAUACUGCGAGACUAGAGUAAUGGAGGGGGAACCGGAAUUCGCGGUGUAGCAGUGAAAUGCGUAGAUAUCGAGAGGAACACUCGUGGCGAAGGCGGGUUCCUGGACAUUAACUGACGCUGAGGCACGAAGGCCAGGGGAGCGAAAGGGAUUAGAUACCCUUGUAGUC